GUACUAGUAGUUCAGACUCAGAACGCCGGUCUUGUAAACCGGAUGUCGGAGGUUAAAGUCCUCCCUAAUACU
rnacentral:tRNA from 1 species